rnacentral:rRNA from 1 species
CAGCCGCCGCGGGAAUACGGAGGGUGCAAGCGUUAUCCGGAUUCACUGGGUUUAAAGGGUGCGUAGGCGGAUCUGUAAGUCAGUGGUGAAAUCUCCAGGCUUAACCUGGAAACUGCCGUUGAUACUAUAGGUCUUGAAUUUUGUGGAGGUUAGCGGAAUAUGUCAUGUAGCGGUGAAAUGCAUAGAUAUGACAUAGAACACCAAUUGCGAAGGCAGCUGGCUACACAACUAUUGACGCUGAGGCACGAAAGCGUGGGGAUCAAACAGGAUUAGAUACCCCCGUAGUCCCUGUCUCUUAUAA